rnacentral:rRNA from 1 species
UACAGAGGGGGCAAGCGUUAUUCGGAAUUAUUGGGCGUAAAGGGCGCGUAGGCGGCUUUGCAAGUGGCGGGUGAAAUCCCUCGGCUUAACCGAGGAACUGCCUGCCAGACUGUGAGGCUUGAGACCGGGAGAGGUGAGUGGAAUUCCCAGUGUAGCGGUGAAAUGCGUAGAUAUUGGGAGGAACACCGGUGGCGAAGGCGGCUCUCUGGACGGUGACUGACGCUGAGACGCGAAAGCGUGGGGAGCAAACAGG